rnacentral:pre_miRNA from 1 species
UGUUUUGUUUAGUGGACUGACUGGCCUGUGCUGCUUCCCGCAGUCCACAGCCUACAGUCCACAAUUUCCUGAUCU